AAUAAGCGGAGGAAAAGAAACCAACAGGGAUUGCCCCAGUAACGGCGAGUGAAGCGGCAACAGCUCAAAUUUGAAAUCUGGUCCCCAGGGCCCGAGUUGUAAUUUGCAGAGGAUGCUUUUGGUGAGGUGCCUUCCGAGUUCCCUGGAACGGGACGCCAUAGAGGGUGAGAGCCCCGUCUGGUUGGAUACCGAGCCUCUGUAAAGCUCCUUCGACGAGUCGAGUAGUUUGGGAAUGCUGCUCUAAAUGGGAGGUAUAUGUCUUCUAAAGCUAAAUAUUGGCCAGAGACCGAUAGCGCACAAGUAGAGUGAUCGAAAGAUGAAAAGCACUUUGAAAAGAGGGUUAAAUAGUACGUGAAAUUGUUGAAAGGGAAGCACUUAUGACCAGACUUGGCCCCGGUGAAUCAUCCAGCGGUUCCCGUUGGUGCACUUUGCCGGGGUUCAGGCCAGCAUCAGUUCGCUCCGGGGGAUAAAGGCUUUGGGAAUGUGGCUCCCUCGGGAGUGUUAUAGCCCAUUGCGCAAUACCCUGUGGCGGGCUGAGGUUCGCGCUUUAUGCAAGGAUGCUGGCAUAAUGGUCAUCAGUGACCCGUCUUGAAACACGGACCAAGGAGUCGUCUUCGUAUGCGAGUGUUCGGGUGUUAAACCCCUACGCGUAAUGAAAGUGAACGCAGGUGAGAGCCCUCCAGGGCGCAUCAUCGACCGAUCCUGAUGUUCUCGGAUGGAUUUGAGUAAGAGCAUACGGGGCCGGACCCGAAAGAAGGUGAACUAUGCCUGUAUAGGGUGAAGCCAGAGGAAACUCUGGUGGAGGCUCGCAGCGGUUCUGACGUGCAAAUCGAUCGUCAAAUAUGGGCAUGGGGGCGAAAGACUAAUCG
rnacentral:rRNA from 1 species